rnacentral:rRNA from 1 species
GAUGAACGCUGGCGGCGUGCUUAACACAUGCAAGUCGAACGAUGAAGCCCAGCUUGCUGGGUGGAUUAGUGGCGAACGGGUGAGUAACACGUGAGUAACCUGCCCUUAACUCUGGGAUAAGCCUGGGAAACUGGGUCUAAUACCGGAUAGGAGCGUCCACCGCAUGGUGGGUGUUGGAAAGAUUUAUCGGUUUUGGAUGGACUCGCGGCCUAUCAGCUUGUUGGUGAGGUAAUGGCUCACCAAGGCGACGACGGGUAGCCGGCCUGAGAGGGUGACCGGCCACACUGGGCCUGAGACACGGCCCAGACUCCUACGGGAGGCAGCAGUGGGGAAUAUUACACAAUGGGCGCAAGCCUGAUGCAGCGACGCCGCGUGAGGGAUGACGGCCUUCGGGUUGUAAACCUCUUUCAGUAGGGAAGAAGCGAAAGUGACGGUACCUACAGAAGAAGCACCGGCUAACUACGUG